rnacentral:rRNA from 1 species
AUUGAACGCUGGCGGCAUGCCUAACACAUGCAAGUCGAACGAGACCUUCGGGUCUAGUGGCGCACGGGUGCGUAACGCGUGGGAAUCUGCCCUUGGGUUCGGAAUAACAGUUAGAAAUGACUGCUAAUACCGGAUGAUGACUUCGGUCCAAAGAUUUAUCGCCCAGGGAUGAGCCCGCGUAGGAUUAGCUUGUUGAUGAG